rnacentral:rRNA from 1 species
AAUGAACCGGCGAGUUACGAUUUGAUGCAAGGUUAAGCAGUAAAUGUGGAGCCGUAGCGAAAGCGAGUCUGAAUAGGGCGUUUAGUAUUUGGUCGUAGACCCGAAACCAGGUGAUCUACCCUUGGUCAGGUUGAAGUUCAGGUAACACUGAAUGGAGGACCGAACCGACUUACGUUGAAAAGUGAGCGGAUGAACUGAGGGUAGCGGAGAAAUUCCAAUCGAACCUGGAGAUAGCUGGUUCUCUCCGAAAUAGCUUUAGGGCUAGCCUCAAGUGAUGAUUAUUGGAGGUAGAG